rnacentral:rRNA from 1 species
UGGCUCAGAUUGAACGCUGGCGGCAGGCCUAACACAUGCAAGUCGAGCGGAAACGAGUUAUCUGAACCUUCGGGGAACGAUAACGGCGUCGAGCGGCGGACGGGUGAGUAAUGCCUAGGAAAUUGCCCUGAUGUGGGGGAUAACCAUUGGAAACGAUGGCUAAUACCGCAUGAUGCCUACGGGCCAAAGAGGGGGACCUUCGGGCCUCUCGCGUCAGGAUAUGCCUAGGUGGGAUUAGCUAGUUGGUGAGGUAAGGGCUCACCAAGGCGACGAUCCCUAGCUGGUCUGAGAGGAUGAUCAGCCACACUGGAACUGAGACACGGUCCAGACUCCUACGGGAGGCAGCAGUGGGGAAUAUUGCACAAUGGGCGCAAGCCUGAUGCAGCCAUGCCGCGUGUGUGAAGAAGGCCUUCGGGUUGUAAAGCACUUUCAGUCGUGAGGAAGGUAGUGUAGUUAAUAGCUGCAUUAUUUGACGUUAGCGACAGAAGAAGCACCGGCUAACUCCGUGCCAGCAGCCGCGGUAAUACGGAGGGUGCGAGCGUUAAUCGGAAUUACUGGGCGUAAAGCGCAUGCAGGUGGUUUGUUAAGUCAGAUGUGAAAGCCCGGGGCUCAACCUCGGAAUAGCAUUUGAAACUGGCAGACUAGAGUACUGUAGAGGGGGGUAGAAUUUCAGGUGUAGCGGUGAAAUGCGUAGAGAUCUGAAGGAAUACCGGUGGCGAAGGCGGCCCCCUGGACAGAUACUGACACUCAGAUGCGAAAGCGUGGGGAGCAAACAGGAUUAGAUACCCUGGUAGUCCACGCCGUAAACGAUGUCUACUUGGAGGUUGUGGCCUUGAGCCGUGGCUUUCGGAGCUAACGCGUUAAGUAGACCGCCUGGGGAGUACGGUCGCAAGAUUAAAACUCAAAUGAAUUGACGGGGGCCCGCACAAGCGGUGGAGCAUGUGGUUUAAUUCGAUGCAACGCGAAGAACCUUACCUACUCUUGACAUCCAGAGAACUUUCCAGAGAUGGAUUGGUGCCUUCGGGAACUCUGAGACAGGUGCUGCAUGGCUGUCGUCAGCUCGUGUUGUGAAAUGUUGGGUUAAGUCCCGCAACGAGCGCAACCCUUAUCCUUGUUUGCCAGCGAGUAAUGUCGGGAACUCCAGGGAGACUGCCGGUGAUAAACCGGAGGAAGGUGGGGACGACGUCAAGUCAUCAUGGCCCUUACGAGUAGGGCUACACACGUGCUACAAUGGCGCAUACAGAGGGCGGCCAACUUGCGAAAGUGAGCGAAUCCCAAAAAGUGCGUCGUAGUCCGGAUUGGAGUCUGCAACUCGACUCCAUGAAGUCGGAAUCGCUAGUAAUCGUGGAUCAGAAUGCCACGGUGAAUACGUUCCCGGGCCUUGUACACACCGCCCGUCACACCAUGGGAGUGGGCUGCAAAAGAAGUAGGUAGUUUAACCUUCGGGGGGACGCUUACCACUUUGUGGUUCAUGACUGGGGUGAAGUCGUAACAAGG